ensembl:lncRNA
AAAAAAAAAAAAAAAGAAAAAAAAAAGGUGACCCUUAUUUUAUUUAUUGAGUAGAGGAACAGAGAGAAAGUGCCAGAUGGAAGGACCUCGGAGCAAUCUCCAACGGCUCAGCCCUGCCUGCUUGGGCGAACAGGCACUGAGGCCAGGAUAAAAGGGAUAGAAAGCAGGGUCAGGAGGGGUUGCAUAAUUACUGGGGUGGAGGUAAAAGGGGUGAGGGGGUGACAAGGGUCUCUCUGGCCUCACCAUGAGGAUAUGUACAGCCCCCCAGCUCCGCGUGGCUGGUAAGCAUCCCUGGGUACGCACAGUAAGUACGAGGGAUGCUGCAGGAUGCCACAUCAGGGUCCCGUUGUAGGGACUGUGGGAGUCCUGAUUUUCUGGGGGCUGAGCUGUCCCCUUUCCCUUCCUACAAACUGGGUCCCUAACGUAGAUGCAAGGAGACCCAGACCCGAAAGGCUUUGUCCCAUAUUCCCUCCUGAUGGGAUGUACUUCCAAAGCCUGAGCAUGGCAACUCCUGCAUUAACCACAGCAUGAGCAGCGCUGAAUCCCCAGUGUUUGCACUAAGAAAAAAGAAAUAAAGGGAAAAGGAUGUAAAAGAUAGUAAUGGUGGGGAGAUAGAUGAAACCUCCAAAACCAGUGUAACAGCCUCAUCCCAUAGGCCCUGCUGGGGGGAUGCAUUUCUCUUACUGCAAAUGAUGCUGGAAGGGCUCUAGCUAAAGGUUGGGGCAUCAGAUUUAGGGGGGACCAGCCCACCCCUCCUUCCACCUCAAGGAGGCUGAAGGAAGGCAACAAAGGAGAGAGAAGAAGGGAGGGAGAGGACAGCCCUAAAGGCAAGGGAUGAUAGUAGAUUUCCCCCAGGUCACUUUCCUCUCCUGGGUUUCAAAGGCACUGGUUCACAGGAUGAGAUGUGGCCAGCGUUUCUCCUGGCCCUGCCCGUCCCUCGGUAAUGGGCUUGUAAUGACCUAAACGAUUUGCUGAUUAGGGCCAAUAAAUCUACCCUUUCCAUGUCUUUCCGAUGGAGAUACCGAGGCUCAGAAGCGGUGAAUGCUGGGGAGGCUUUGCUCCAGGGACAGGCUAAAAGAGGAAGAAAAAAAAAAAAAAGAAAAGGAAAAAAAAAAAAAAAAGGAAAAGAAAAAAGAAAAAAAAAUCAGAAAAGAAAAGAAGGAAGGGGGAAAAAGGAGGAAAAAGAAAGAAAAAAAAGGGAAAAAACGAGUUAGAGAAGCCCGGUCGGCUCCUUUGCGCCGGUUCCCCCGAGCCGUGCGGUCCCGCUGCACCCCCUGCGCCCCGCCGAGGGAAAUGCAGCGGCUCUGUGGGAACCACGCCGCUCCAGGAUGGAAAAGAUGAAAUGAAAUAAAAAUAAUUCGAAAAAAUAAUUAAAAAAACAAACAAACAGGAAAAAAGAAAAAAAUAAACACCUGGCGGCGUUAGCUUAAAAGGAGCGCAUCCUGAGAGACUUUUGCUCAAGUGCAGUGUCCGGUUCGUGGGUGCGGUGUCACGAUGGUGAUGUUGCUUUGGGGGGGGAGGGGGGUGGGCAGCAGCGGUUCGUUCCUGUUCCCCCGCCCCGGUGCAGGUGCACACAGGGAAGGCGGUUUCGUGCCGGGGUGCCCCGAGUGGGGUGGUCCGGGAGAAGAGAGGUGGCCGUGCCCUCCCGGUGUGCCGCAGGGCACGGCACUGCCAGGCACUUCCAAUUAGCAAAUCAAGCUGGUGAUCAUUAGCGUGCAGCAGCCAAAGCAGCG